rnacentral:rRNA from 1 species
CCUACGGGUGGCAGCAGUGGGGAAUAUUGCACAAUGGGCGAAACCCUGAUGCAGCGAUGCCGCGUGAGUGAAGAAGUAUUUCGGUAUGUAAAGCACUUUCAGCAGGGAAGAAAACGAUGAUACUUGUAUACUCAGCCAUGGCUAAAUACGGACCAGCAGCCGCGGUAAUACGUCGGGUGCAAGCGUUAUGCGGAUUUACGGGGUGUAAAGGGAGCGUAGAUGGCUGCGCAAGUCGGGAGUGAAAUGCCGGGGCGUAACCCCGGAACUGCUUUGGAAACUGGGAAGCUAGAGUGCAGGAGAGGGAAGUGGAAUGCCGGGUGUAGCGGUGAAAUGCGUAGAUAUUAGGAGGAACACCAGUGGCGAAGGCGGCUUACUGGACAAAAACUGACGUUGAGGCGCGAAAGCGUGGGGAGCAAACAGGAUUAGAUACCCCUGUAGUC